ACAGUCCAGUUAGUGAUUGCGUGGUAUCUCAGCUAAUAAGGACUGUCACGUGGUAGUCCUCUUCCCACCCAAAUUAGGGUUCGCGAGAAAUGCUCUCUCAUUUGCGAUGGCUGCUGGUUCUUCCAUUGCACAAAGGAGCUCGUGGGGGCGUGAUUAGAGGGGAUUCUUAUGUUGUGGUUCCAUCUCUAUUUCCAGGUAUGUAGAUUGAUGGAGAUGGUGGUGGUUUGCGAGAACGCGAUCUAGGUUCUUCGAGUUUGUGGAGAAGACAAAGAUGGAGAAGAAUUGCUUGCGGUGCGCGAAGGUGAUGGAGGAGAUGAACUCACCGUUGCGACGCUAUUUAGGUUUUGAAUCGAGGGAGAAGGAACUCGCGAUUAGGUUUCGAAGGGGUGAAUCGUGAUUCUGGUUUGGGAUGUUUCUACAAGCAUUGUCGCAAUUGAAGGAGCAUGGUUGCGAUGGAGGCAAGACACGAUUUAAAGUUUGAUGCGUUUCUGAUUGGUAAAUAGUGAAGAUUGAUGGUGGUUCUACAAUUCAGAACGAAAAUGGUGCGAUAUUCGCGCAUGGAGGUUAAUGCUGUGAUAACUAGGGAGGUUUGAUUGCUCAAGUGUGAUGGCGCGCUAAUGGCAACAUGGUGGCCCUGUGAUGUCUCUUUGCACGAACCCUAACCCUUCUCACAUUAGUUGUCAAGUCAAUUGAUCUCAUCAUGUCACGUAAUCACUAAUUGGACAAAUCAUUCAAUUUUGAUAAAAAAACAUCUACAUUGAUAAAGUUUUUAAUGUUAAUAACAAA